UCUCUGGUAUAGGCAAUGCUG
rnacentral:misc_RNA from 1 species